rnacentral:misc_RNA from 1 species
GCAAACUUGGUCAUUUAGAGGAAGUAAAAGUCGUAACAAGGUUUCCGUAGGUGAACCUGCGGAAGGAUCAUUACCGAGUUAGGGUCUGCCUCUGUGCGGCCCGACCUCCCAACCCCGUGUCUAACGUACCUCAAUGUUGCUUCGGCGGACCGGUUGACCAACUGGUCUUGACCGCCGGGGACCUGCGUGCCCUGGAGAGCGUCCGCCGAUGGCCCAAGUACAAACUUCUUGAUACCAAAAAUUUGUUGCCUGAAUAUACUUGAUAUUAAUCAAAAACAAAACUUUCAACAACGGAUCUCUUGGUUCUGGCAUCGAUGAAGAACGCAGC